rnacentral:rRNA from 1 species
CUAACACAUGCAAGUCGAGCGCGAAAGGGGGGGCAACUCCCCGAGUAGAGCGGCGCACGGGUGAGUAACGCGUGGGUAACCCACCUCCGGGCGGGGGAUAACGACUCGAAAGGGUCGCUAAUACCGCAUGAGACCACGGGGUCUUCGGAUCCUGAGGCCAAAGGCGGCAUCGGCUUGCCGGUGCUGUCACCUGGAGACGGGCCCGCGUCCGAUUAGCUAGUUGGCAGGGUAACGGCCUACCAAGGCUUCGAUCGGUAGCUGGUCUGAGAGGAUGGCCAGCCACACUGGAACUGGAACACGGUCCAGACUCCUACGGGAGGCAGCAGUGAGGAAUAUUGCGCAAUGGGGGAAACCCUGACGCAGCAACGCCGCGUGGGUGAAGAAGGCCUUCGGGUCGUAAAGCCCUUUCGGACGGGACGAACGCUUCGCGGUGACAACCCGCGAAGCUUGACGGUACCGUAGGAAGAAGCACCGGCUAACUCCGUGCCAGCAGCCGCGGUAAUACGGAGGGUGCGAGCGUUGUUCGGAAUUACUGGGCGUAAAGCGCGUGUAGGCGGCCCUGUAAGUCAGAUGUGAAAGCCCCCGGCUUAACCGGGGAAGUGCAUCUGAAACUGCUUGGCUUGAGUACCGGAGAGGGAGGCGGAAUUCCCAGUGUAGAGGUGAAAUUCGUAGAUAUUGGGAGGAACACCGGUGGCGAAAGCGGCCUCCUGGACGGAUACUGACGCUGAGACGCGAAAGCGUGGGGAGCAAACAGGAUUAGAUACCCUGGUAGUCCACGCUGUAAACGAUGGGCACUAGGUGUGGGGGGUAUCCACUCCUCCCGUGCCGCAGCUAACGCAUUAAGUGCCCCGCCUGGGGAGUACGGCCGCAAGGCUAAAACUCAAAG